rnacentral:piRNA from 1 species
UAGCUAGGCAAGUGUGGAUUGGUCAAAAG